UUAGUUAUUUUGUUGGGGUGAUGUUAAAAUUUAAUGAACUUUUAAUUAUUAAAAAUUAUUAAUUUAUGAUUUAUUGAUCCGUUAAUAACGAUUAUAAGAUUAAGCUACUUUAGGGAUAACAGCGUAAUUUUUUUGGAGAGUUCUUAUUGAUACAAUUAU